rnacentral:misc_RNA from 1 species
UAUUCGAUAAAGAUGGAGACGGUUUGAUUAUUCUCUCUCUAUAUAUAUUUCUAGAUCUAGCAUUCAUUUUGUUGUUUGUGUCUGUUUUAGUCCUAUUUUCCGUAUUUUUCUUUGAUUUUUUUUCUUGUGGAUAUUUUACUGUUCUUUUACUGUUCUCAUGCGAUGUGUUUUUGGGUUUUCUUCAGCUCGAUUUGGGAUAGAUGGUUCAAUAAUUUUUUCUUAUUUGAGCGCUGUUUUGAAUUUUUUUUGGGGUAUGCAAAACUGUUUUUUCCAAUUGUGUUGCCUGAGAUAGAAAGGAAGACAUUACUAAAUAUUGGACUCGAUUAAUAAGAUUAAAUUACAAAAUGUCUCCCGUUAUUUCUUAAAAUUCUUACUUUUAAAAUAAAAUUGAAUUAAAUGAUUUAAUUUUUUUUCAAAAAAUAUAUAUUUUUUUGUUUCAAAAUUUAAGUGUGAAUUUUGCAAAAUGUUUAGCGAUUUUGUAAUUUUAACCCUGAAAAUCAAUAACCACUUUCAAGGUUGAUUGUACUUAAACAAGCAUGUUGCCUUCUCUUUGGGUUUUUUUUUCUUUUCUUUUAUUUAUUUAUUUAUU